rnacentral:lncRNA from 1 species
AUAUAUUGUCAUUAUUACUAUCCAAACUCUCUUUUUCUACUGAUCCUUGAUGGAGCCCAACUUUCCUGCUGUUCUUCUUAAUCCUUCUUCGACAGCUUCUUUAGGUUAUAUUCUCUUUAAUGCUAAAUUGAACUGUUCUCUAUUGCCAAUUACAGACAAUUUUCUUGCCUGUCGUUGGCCUUGUUGAUCCUGACAAUUUGAAACCUGGUGAUCUGGUUGGAGUAAACAAAGACAGUUAUUUGAUAUUGGAUACUUUGCCAUCUGAAUAUGACUCUCGGGUUAAGGCAAUGGAAGUUGAUGAAAAGCCAACUGAGGACUACAACGAUAUUGGAGGCCUGGAGAAACAGAUUCAAGAACUUGUCGAGGCAAUUGUUUUGCCUAUGACACACAAAGAACGAUUCGGACUACAAUGAUAUUGGAGGCUUGGAGAAACAGAUUCAAGAACUUGUUGAGGCAAUUGUUUUGCCUAUGACACACAAAGAACGAUUCCAGAAAUUAGGCGUUCGUCCUCCAAAGGGAGUCCUUUUGUAUGGGCCUCCAGG